UGCAUCCACAUGCAAUGGAGUAUCAGCCUGAAAAAGGGCUGAAAGUCUGAUUAUGCUACAGCAUAAAUGAACCUUCAAUACAUUACACUAAAUGAAAUAAGUUGGAAACAAAAGGGCAAAGAAGUAGGUACAUGAAAUAACCAUAUUGGGUGCCUGGGUGGCUCAGUGGGUUAAGC